CUCUUCCCUCUUUCUCUUUUCACUAUCUCUUCUAUAACAAACAUAGUGUAAGGGCCUUGCCCCCUUCAUUAAAUCAAGAUCAGUCACAAUUUAAUUCUUUUCACUCACUCUCUCUGUCGUUACCUUCCCCUGCCAGAUACGCACAACACUCUCUUCCUCCCAUAACACCACUUCGAGCUCCUUUCUUUUUCCUUCUGAAGGCAGCAAGUUCACCAUUGAUUGGAGCAAGCAACAGCCCUCUCGUGCAUCCCCUCAAGACGGUGGCAGCCAACACCUCCAUUCUCUUCAACCUUUUCUCAUCUCAAUUUUGAGCUUUUGAGUUAGAGGUUUGGAUCGAGUUGAGCUAAGGAAGGAAGAUUCAGAACAAGCUGUGAAGUUUCAGGAUAGAGGAGAAUUACCCAAGCCGUUUCACGAACUUGAAAAGGCAGACACAUGGUUUCAAGUUCGUUUAAAACCUUCUGUCAGACAUUGCCUCUGAUUUCCAGCAUCUCCUCGACACCCUUCCUCGCCCUUCCACCGCCGUCUGAAACACCUUCAUCAUCGGCUUCAUCUGCGACCAGCCCACGUCUCUUUCCAUGGUAACCCCUGUCGCAGGUGCCUUGGCCAUUGGGAUUGGGCCUAUGACGGGUGGUCAAGGAACUGGCAUGAUGGCGGUUAUGCAAACAAACGGAGACAAGGGAUUUUUUGGAGGGUUCGAAUCAAAGUAGGGAAGGUGGUCUGCUCCGUUUGGAAGAUGGAUGAGGUUUGGCACCGGAAAUUGUUCCUUAAAUGGUGGCUGCUGGCUGGGUGCUCAUACUCGAUUUGGGUUUUCCUGCAAAUUUUCAGAUUUGGUACACCUAUGCUGGGAUUAUGAGGUUCCAGUUUGUGCAUUGGUGUCGUUCUUCUACGUUGUUCUUGAUUGUGUUUGUAGGCUACUGUUAUCUGGCUGAUAGUGGAAUUAGGACUAUCUAGGCCCAAAUUUAUUAAUACAAGAUUGUCUCAGCUUUUAAAAGAACAUGAUGAAGAAUUGUGGCGCCAUCUUGAGAUCACUUCUAAACGAAACAAGCUGCUGGCAGCAAUCCAGAAACAGGUCGCACUCGCACAGGCCGACUCAAAAGCCUUAUGAGAAUGGUGAUCUAUGAAUUUAGUCUGUUGAGCGUUUACUUAUUAGUACACAAUUCUUUUCCCCAUCCUCUGGUGUGACCCACAUUGAUGGCCAAUUGUAUGGCAACAGUCAACAGAUAUGAGCCAACUAUAUUCACAUGACUCUACAGGUGAAUUUUUAACAUUGAGAGUGUGGAAAACCGGGGAGCCAUGGUGCUUAUUCAUGCAGUAUGGAGAGGAUAGUUAUUAGGCGGUGUCAUUCAUCACCAUCAUCACCUUCAUUGCUGGUAAGAACCAAAGGGUUAGCUCUCUCUUUACCCACUUGGGUUGUUCAUGUCGUCGCUGAAUGGCCAAACUCCUCCCUCAUCUCAUCUCAACCAUUUAGAUUAUCAUUCAUUCUUCUUAAUUGACAUGCAAAUUUUACAUGUGUGGUGUCAAUAGCCGAUCUGAAUAUGUUGUUCUUUUUAUAUGGAAAUCAGUUGUCUAUGUAGUAGAAUUUUGUUAUAGAAGUGGGUGUGACUUGGUCAAUAUGGUAAAGGCAAAUACUAUUGUCAUAUCAUUUUUCUGUCCGAUAUGUUAGAUUGUUGCUAGGACCCUGAAAAGAUGAAUGAGGGCCAUAACCAAGAGGGGGGGUAUAAUGGCUGAUUUGAGUACCAAAUGCAGAGCUAAUUGGUAAAAAUAUAAAGAUAGAGAACAUUCUGAUGGAUGAUAUUCUCUGCAAAAGUUAGUGGAUGGCAUCAAAGGUUUGACAUAUUCUCAGAAAUUUGUGCCACGAGUAGAGGAGCUAAAAUAUGAGUUGGAGAGGUUUUUCAGAAGCUGCAUCACCAACACUAAGUGGCACAACCGAUCCUUCUCUUAGGGGAACUUGCACAUACAAAUCAUUGAAGACUGCAGUUCAGAUCACCAUCAAUUGUCUCAGCAAUGUUUCCAGUAGUCACCCUUCAAUAGAGGAUAUCCUCUUGAAUGUACAGUAUGGUUAAUUUUAUAAUUCAAUCAUGAAAUAGUACUCCAUCCUUGACCCCACAUUGUGUCGUAGCACUAUAUCUACAUGAAAGGAAUCACACUCCAAUUUUUGCCAAGGUUGGGACUUACUUUGUGGGGCAGUACUACCAUAUGCUUCAGAAUCAGCCAGAGAUCGUGUUGAAAGCUAAUGGAAGCUGAAAGUAAAAGGGAAGUAUUAAUUUUUUGGAGAAGUGAUCAAAGCCAUAUGGAGGCGGUAGCAGCAGGAAAACACUUUGAUGAUGCUAUUUGUUUGUUCAAUUGUCGUAAGGUCCAUGCCUGCCUAUGUAUAUGAGCUGCAAGAGAAUAUCAUGGUUGCAAAAAAAGUGGGUUGAUCUUCUCUGCUUAAACACUGGUGGUUCAUAGAAGAAUGGAUGAUGCAGAGGCCAUGGAGUAGACACUUGAUCACUUGGACACUGCACAGAAAGAGUUUCACAACUGAUUUUUUAUUUUGCCCAAGUUGAUAUUUCUUUAUUUUAAACUAUAUUCAUAUAAAUGAUCAGAUUUUAUGUCUUGGAGAAAUUACUGACAUAACUUCAGUUUCUGUUGUUUAUCACUCUCAUUUGUAUUUUUUUUGUUACAUGCCUUUUUUUU